ACUCGUGUUUGGGACAUCGGGAGGUUCCGGAAGCAAUCGUGGCAGCGAAAUUGUGGUGCUGGGACUUCGACAUAUUGGGGAAAGAUCGGAAGCAGUUGAUGGUGAACUCAGAGCUCGAGAAGAUUCGCCAAUCAUGAGGAAAUGGAUGAAGACGCUGAGCUGCUUGAGGUCCAGGACAGGAUUGAAUGAGCUGUCGUUUGGGACAAAAAACAGUUCUGCUGAUGGAACAGGAGUAACAAUGUGAUCGAGGAGCAUGUGUUGCGAUGCAUAUUGAAAGGCUUCAUGUUUCCCAAGGAACUCAGUACAUGAAGAAGCGAGGGGGGAGGAACGGUUUCAAAUUCUAAAUGGUAACCAGACGAUUUAGCGUACUCAGAGGUCUGGGGUGAGCCAAAACCAUGUCUCCCCAAAAUGGUGCAAGCGAUCGCCCACAUGCGGUGGUGUGGUUGGUAGUCAUGCAUAACGGGACUUGUCUGAUGACUUAAGUACUUGUCUGAGCGUACCAGAGCUGAUAGAUCUCCAUGACAGCUGUUGACCAAGACUGAAAGGCUCUGCUGACCCAGGCAGUGGCCGUGACUGGCCGUAGGGACACAGUGAAGAUAGAUCUCAGGAAACCCUCGUUGAAAAAAGAAACGUCAGGGACCAGAGGGGCUGAGAGAGGCGAGACAACGUAGCGCCGAGGACCAUUUUUAAAAGAAUUUUCGGUGAGGAUGGAUACCGGUGCUAAAAUCGCUUUGCUGGAUGGUCUCAUUCACAUUGUAGAAAUGCUUCCUAGUUGUUGAUGUGAAAAUCCCAGUUGUUUGCACUGUUCCCUUGAAGUAUUUCAGGAUGGAGAGAGGGUUGUAACAGGUUGCUAAGCGCAUCUAGGGAGCUUCCAUGUAGCAGAAUGUGCUCCUGUUUAGAUGGUGAGAAGUGCGUGCCUUCUGUAUUGAGCAUCUAUCCAGAUGCAGGGGAGAUCACAAGUAAAUUAGGCUCUUCAGCAGAAGGGGCAGUGACAUACGCUGGCGGGAGAUGCCGAUGACACAGGAGGCACAAGUCCUGCCACUUGGCUACACGGGAUACUUGGCAACAUAGGCAGAGCAGUUACAGGAGUCAGGCACAAGGAAUAUUCUGGUGAUACUCAGCACAGAAGUACUCUGUAUUGGUCCCUGCUGCAGUACAUUCAGGUAGCAUGCAUCUGCUGGACAGCCCCCAGAAUCCUUAGAGAGGAAAGAGGUCUGGCUGUGUGACUUUCUCAGGGAGACUUAUUAGCCCGAGCAGCUCACAUGCGCAUAGGGGGAAACCACCAAAAAAGACACUCUAUGGAGAGUUCUGGGUCAACCCCUGCUGUCAGUGGAGUGCUGGCCGCAAAAAAAAAAAAAACUGGAGUCCUUGAGGACACUGGAAAAAACAGAGAUGCACCAAGUCCUUUUCUGGGUUCAGCUGAAUCCCCGAAUGCUUGGGUACAGAGUUACCAAAUACCAAACCGAACCCUUGUGCUGUUUUGUUUUUUUUCAAUUCCAUAAGAUUCUGUUUGCCAGGCUCUUGGAUUCGGCCAAAUCCAAACCCUGCUAAAAAUUGCUUGGAUUUGGUGCAUCCCUACUUGAGAGCCACUGGCAAUGCUCCUUAUUACAGCACCAGAGGUUGUUUACUAGGCAUCCUGGGGGACAGAUACGUUUAUGUUUCAUCAAAAAGAACGGUUAUGCUUAAUAACAUUUAGAAGAUAUUGGUUGUAUGGCAGAAGAGACACACACACUUUAAACCACUCUCUGUAGAAAAUGAGCUAACACUUUUAUUAACUCUCUGUUUCUUGGCAAAGAAACAAUGACACCACGUUACAACUAUUUAUUCAACAUGAAAGCACUCUAAAGUAUACAAGCAUUGUAGGAAUGGCAAAUUGUAGUUAAACAAAACUAAAACAAAAUACCGCUUUUGUGAAACAAAUAUGUGUUAACCAAUACAAGAACUUGAAAAGUGUUGCUUUAUUACAAUUACAAAAAAGGUUUUUAUUCUCGAAACUUCUCACCGCUCUACAAAAUGUCACAAACAGAUAAAAACGGACAGCUGGGCAAUUGAGAAUCCAUAUACACUUUUAAUAGAUCACAGUUGUAGGGAAGUUGUGGCUUACAGUAGAAGGACAAAGUCAAAUGCAACUGUACAGUAAUUUGCCAUUUGUAGUAACAGGAGAUUCAGAAACAUUCCUAUUCAGUAAUGACAUCAAGUCUUAUCCAAUUUAGUGUGAGAUGCACUGAAUCCAGGAUUCGGCCUUUUUUUUUCUGAAUUUUAAUAUGCAAAUUAGGGGCAGAGGGGGAAAUUGCAUGACUUUUUGUCACAAAACAAGGAAGUAAAAAAUGUUGUCCCCUUCCCUUUGCAUAUGCAAAUUAGGAUUUGGUUCAGUAUUCAGCCAAAUGUUUCGAGAAGCAUUCUUGAGUUUUGGCCGUAUCCCAUGGUAGAAAGGAAGGGUCCAAAAACUAUUCAGUAAUCCAAAAAGUAAAAAAAAAAUGAAUCUGUAAAAAAUGGUCAAGUCUGUGACCCACUCACAAAAAGCCCUUAUUCUAUUUUCCUGUAUGGAGUUCACGAAUAUCUACUGAUUUGCCCAGAAAUGGGUACCUUAAAGAAAACAUCAAAGCAGUGUAUGAGACUUGAUUGGAGCUGUAGCCAUUAAUGGGCCCUACUGGCUUAUCAGUCAAACAAAGAAGAGUGACGGAACACAAAACAGGACACGAGCUGAAUCAAAAGUCAGCACAAACCGUAUAAGGUUCUGGGAGUGGGAAAAAAAAAAAAAAAAGCAGACUUCCACUGGGUAACUUUUCUAUUGAGGGUCUUGCCACACAGGCAGAUUCGGGGAGAUUAUUUUCCAGGCGGAGCGCUUCGUUUUCAGAGUUUCCUUGUGAGACAAUUAUUGGUGAUUUCGGAAAACGAAGCGUUCCGAGUGCCUGCCCCCAGGCGACUUACAUUUGACCAGGCGGAAGGCAGAUCGGGGAGAUUAUUCGCCGCGAAGAAGAGGAGAUUUAUCGCCUGGCGACUAAUCUCCCCGUGUGGCCAGACCUUACAUGGUGCACAUCUCUAGGGUCAACAUUGAUCACUAACUGGAAAGAGGCAAACAGUUCUUAUCAGUGGGAUUUCAGUUCAAGUAAAAGUUUCAUAGACUUGGGGUGGUCGUUAUUAUGAUUUCAUCGUCGGUCAACGAGGCAGUUUCCAAAACAGGGUUGUGCGAAAGAAAAGAAAGCAGAAGACUAGUGUUCAAGCUGUCCGGCAAUAUCUACAACAAAUCAAAUGCUUUGUCAGGUUCAGAUGCUACCAGUAAAAUAUUACAGACGAGUUUUUUGUGCUCACUAAAAUUCUUGUUCCUUCUAUUAAAUCUGAAACACACACACUACUGAUUGUUCUUGGUUCCUUUCAUAUAAAAAGUUUCUCUCUCUUCAUUAAGGCCUUACUUAGAUUGUAACCUGCAAACAAAAAUAUAUGUAUCCAAGGACUUUUGCAAUUCCAGAGAAUAAGGCUGAGCAGGUCUAAAAUAUGAAAUAGAAGAAAUAAAACUCUGGUCCUGGAUUAAUCUGCAAGUAUCAAAAGGGAAAUUAAAAAAGUUUCUUUAAAGGGGGUUGUUUACCUUCAAACAACUAGUUUAUUUCAGAUCACCAGAAAAAACGACUUUUUCCAAGGGGACAACAUUUUUCUGUGUCACCAUUUUUCUAAUAUUGAAGUGUUAAGUGUCAUUUUUCACCUUCUAAAGUAGUUUGGGGGGGGGGGGCAGUGAGUCGUUGACCCUGUAAAUUGAUACAUUAAGGGUCAGGGCACACACUCAGAUUUGGGUAGAUUAGUCGCUCUGCGACAAAUCUCUUGUUCAGGGCGACUAAUCUGCCUCCCGCCGGGCGAUUUACAUUCUAGCUGGCGGGAGGCAGGUCAGGGAGAUUUGUUUCCUCCUGAGGCAACUUCGGAAAUAGCGCUGUGACAUCUAGCCGGCAGGAGAUUAGUCACCCAAAGAAGAGGCGAUUUGUCAAUGGGCGACUAAUCUCCCCGAAUUGGAGCAUGUGCCCUGACCUUUAGUCGAUACAUUUCUUAUCUUUGUCCCUGCUGAGCAGAAUCUCUUGUAGUGAUGUGUGGGUCAUUCUUUUCCCGACCCGCACCUGCCUGUUUUAACACCACCUGCCUGAGCCCUACUUCUGGGUCACUUUAAUAGACCCACGCCAACCCCCCCCCCCCACGACAUCAUCACAAAAG